UCCUUGUCCUCUGCCACAAUAGAGAGAGCCACCUGUGCACAGCACUGUGCUGUGUACUGACAGAAGCAGGCUAAAGAGAAUGGGAAUUUUGAGUCAUGGUAGCAUUUCCAAAUCACAGCAUCCAGAAGUCUUGUGUAGAUGAGAGAAGCCAGUCACCAGGUAUCACUAGCAGGCAUCUUUCUGAAGUGGGUCUUUUGCCCACAACCUGCAGGGUGCCAGGAACUCAAAUACGGCACUCUUCCAGAAGAAUUUCUGUGAUACAUUACAUAAUCUGCAUUCUGUGAGCUUUUAGAACACAUGAACAUGGCUAUGUGGAGUUUCAUUUUAUCAUGCAGAAGACAUCAAGUGUACCAUUUAAAUGAUUUUUAAAUCUACAGUUCAGAGGCAUCUAAACAUACUGACAUUGUUGUUUGACCCUCACACCAUCCGUCUCCAGAACGUUUCCAUCGUCUCAACAGAAACCCUGUACUCAUUAAACAGUGUCCCCCAUGCCCUCUAUCCCUAGUCCCUGGCUACCACCAUUCUCCCUCUGUCUCUGCACGUCUGACUACUCUAGAUACCUCGUACAUUCAUUGUCCUUCAUGUAUGGUUUAUUUCACGUAGCAUAAUGUGCCCAAGGCGCAGCCAUGUGGUAGCACGUGUCAGAACCUCCUUCCUCUUGAAAGCCUGAAAAACGUUCCAUUGUCUGUAUGGACCACAUGUCCUUUCUCUGUUCACCUGUGGAUGAACACUUGGGUUGCCUCCACUUUUUAGCUCUUGUGAAUAAUGCUGCUAUGAAUAUUGAAGUACAAGUAUCUCAAGUAUCUGUUUGAGGCCCUGCUUUCAGUUCAUUUGGGUGUACACCCAGAAGUGGAACCACAGGGUCAUAUGCUCAUUCCAUGUUUAGCUUUUUGAGGAACCACCACACUACCUUCCACAGCAGCCACAUCACUUUAUAUUCCCACCAGCAAGGUGCAAGUGUUCUGCUUCCUUCCACGCCAGCAGUGGUCCUAUUCCAUUUUGCUUUGGAUUUCUUUUUGAUGUUUUGUUUUUAAUAGUUUCCAUCCUAGUGGGUGUGAAGUAGCAUCUUGUUGCAAGGAUUUGAGUGUGUGUGUGUGUGUGUGUCUGUGUGUCUGUGUGUCUUGCUAAAGAUAGGAAGAGAGUAGCUUCCUCCCUCAGGGCUGGAAAAGACCUCUGUCACUAGAUCCUGAGCCCCUGUGCUCUCAGUAAGGCCAGAACCUCAGUCCCUAGAGAAAGGACAUAACUCUUGAUCUCGGCCCAGAGUCUAUGAGCAACUCAUGAGAG
rnacentral:lncRNA from 1 species